CCCAGUCACCAUUUUAGGCUUGAGAUCGAUCCCUUUGCCGAGUGCCUGCCUUCUGGAUAUUUUUCUCUCUUGCUGUUAACGUUAAUUGCUGUCGUGGCGCGACUUUGAGUCUUUGUGCUGCUGCUGUCCUCCCCGAAGCUUUUCUCUCGGAUUCUUUGUGUUGCUGCUGCUGUCCUUCACGACCUCAGCUGUAGACGGUACAAUAAAGAUAUUAACUAUGGGGGAGGAAGAAACCCUAGGAGGAGAGCAGGGCAGCUCUCUUGCAGCUCCUGUCAUCUUUCUCAUCGUUGUGUUUUUCCAGUUUGUCUCCAGAUG
rnacentral:misc_RNA from 1 species